UUUCUGGUUUUUUUACAGCUUCUCUGAGUUCUGCUGUUCCCUGGAAACAUCAUAACAUAGUUGUACUCCAUGUUAAACAAGAAGUAAAAAUGAUGGUGUUCCAUCUUGGUGAUUGCCAGUUAUAUGCUAAUAAAUGAAAAGCACGGUUCGUCCUCGCUUUAGGCUUAAAGCUACCUGACAUGCAUAUUAAAACAUCGAAGUGCUAACGAUAGGGAAAGGUCUACGAGCAGUAUGUUAUUUCGUUUAUUUCACGAACGGAAUAUACAGGAAAAAAGACAUACCUGUUGUAUCGUUGUGUUAUCAGCUACAAGCAACUUCGAUAGUAUUUCCUCCAUAACUGGAUUUAUAUUAAUAACAAAAUACGUAUUUAAGAGUACUUCCAAACGAAGCAGGGGCCCAGAAGUAGCCGGCUGUC